UAAAUAUUCCUUGUAUUUAGCCAAAUUUAUUCUGAUAAGAAAGUGCAUAGCGUUAGGCAGAAUAAAUCUGCGUUAUCUUUGUUGUAACGAAUGGAAACGACAUAUAAACAGAAAAGAAAUUUUUCAAUAGAUGUCGCUAGUGAUUCGAGCUACGUCUGAAAAGUGCUACGAAAAUCGAAUAGGAAAAUCCGCAGGAAAAUUCACAGUAUUUUUGGCGGUUUCCAAUUUCAUUUUUUUAGCAUUAAGAUGUUUUGAUCCAUCAUUUUCAUAAACAUACACACCGCAGCCGUUAACCCAUUGCAACCUAAAGUAGGACUACACAAAUGGCCUAUACAAAUUCGAUGAUUCCACGACGAUUGUUUGCUCGCCCACACACGAUACAAACAUAUUUCACGCGCACACAAACGAUUGGGGGCGAAAACAGCACCAGCAAAAUUAACUCCUUCAAUAGAUGUCGGUAGCGAUUCGUCUGUUUCAGACGCUACGAAUUUUUAGUAUCAAUCUCCUUAGGCAGCAGGGCUAUAGAUCUAGGGUGGAACAACUUUGACACAAAGAAGCGCGGUGAAGAAGUGGGCACGGAAGCCGAAAUUUUGACAGCCUAUUACAUUGUUUACGUUUUGUGUCAAAGAAAAUCAAUGAAAAGUAUGACGAAAAAGUCGUGCUUUUGUAGUGAUGUUUUAUAUGACGUCACCAUAAACUUGGUUUGAAUCGUGUUUUACAACAAACAACAGUGGCUUACUGCCGAAACGGAAAAAACAAUCUCCUAGCUCCUCGGGUAAAAACCGUGAAGCCCGAUCUUCCAGCAGCAGUUCCUCCUCCUCAACGCCCUCCCUACUGAAGUAGAAAGUUAAACUGGAACCAUUACUGGACGCUUCGGAGUUGGUAGAAUCGCUACCAAUCAUUUCACAAUUAUCGCCCGAUGCCGCUGAACCAGGUCGUUCGAUUCUGACCGAAGAAGAGACCCUCGGCCACAGCAUGCAGUCCAAAAAUCUUCGCACCAAAGUUUUCUUCGGCAUCAAAACCGACUUCUAAAGGAAAACAUCGAACUGCUGGAUUGCACCGACGGAAUUCCGUUCGAUAUGCUCAAACCGGUCCUGGAAUAUCUGGAAGAAGUGAACCCGUACCUGUUGGAGGACACUGGCAUCCUUUGGGAGCAGCACUGCAGACGACUUCCCGAAGCCAAAAACGAAAGGAAAAAGAGUGCGAAUCAUGGCGGGAGAUGUACGCUCGUUGUUCAAAUGAAAGAAAGGUAAAGCUGAACCGUCUGACGGCCAACAUCAGAUGGCCCAGGUAGAGCAGACAGCAGCGGUCAGGAGAUCCCAGCUGGCCUACGUUGACGCAUCGAUGCAUGGUCAAACCUCCUCGACAGGUGAUAAGCAAGCAAAUCAAGUACGCACAGCCAAGGCUCCGGUUGUUCGCCGACCGCUCGGGUAGCAUCACUCAAGAACGUGGGCGGCAACAUAACUGGGCUGGAGAUUCCCGACUUAAGGUUGCGUUCGGGACAACGCCCAGGCACAUGUUUUUGCACCCACCAAACCGAAGAAAGUCCCUCUCAUGGCGAAGGUGAUAAAGUCUAUCAAAGGUUUCCGCCGGUAGGUUUCCUUAUCGUUUUCAAUUGAGGAAACACCAAAAUCGUAUAUACAUCACUAUGAAGAUACAACAACGAAAAACUCGUGUAUGAGUACGGAAACCCAUAAGCAGCAGCAACAUCAUUAACGAGCGUAAAGCGAUCCAUAAUACAAUCAUUCGUUGUUGGAUAAAUACGUGGAAGGUUUCGAAAAACUAUACAAUUAAAGUUGAGAUAAAACAUAGUACAUUUAUUAAAUUUGAAGGCAAAACAGAGUUUGAAAUACUAAGUUAGCUUAAUCUUAUUGGAGGGGAAAAAGCCCAUAUGAAAUCAGUUCAGAGCAGGAAUGAGCAAUACGCGGCCCGCGUGCCGCGUGCGGCCCGCAAGACGCGAAGCUUUUUUCAAUUUUUCUUUGCUUUAACUUUUUUCUACAAUGAAUUGUUAGGAAAGUUUAUAUGAAUGGAUCAAAAAUGCACUUAUCUGCAUUUGCCCCAGAAUAAUUUAGAUUGUUUUCUUUUUGAGAUGCUUUUCAAAAAUUUUAUACAAAAUUUACAUGGGAUGAAUAAACCCAAGAGGCUUAAAAUCCCAAAUAAAAACAAACAAACAAAAUUUAUAGCAAACAUCGAUAAAUUGAGUUAUUUAUUUAAAAGCAAUUUCCAGCCACACACCGAUCUUCUCCUUUCCAUCGCUUCCGGUUGAAGACUUUCGUUCGUGGACAUUUUCCAGCAAUUUGGCCGUACUACUGUUUAGUUUCUUGGAAAUUCUUAUCUUCGAUUUACGCGGCCACGAGAUGCCACGAAUUUAUUAUUCAGUUGAGGACUCUUGGUGUUCUCCUUCACUGAAUAGUUGUUGUUGCUAAAAAGCCUGGAACUUCGCCGUACAUUCUGGGCCUGCAGGGCACCGCCGGUCGUGUUGGAUGCUCGCGGCGUCAUCAACUGGCUGCCUGUUUGACUAAACACAAUCGGUUUGGUGUUUGUACUUUGUUGCUGCAGCAGUAUCGUUGUUGCCUAGAAAGAAAAAAAAACUGAACUUAAUACGGCAAAAGGAAAUCGGGAUAGCUAAUUCUUACUGUGGUGUCGCUUUUCCUGUUAAUUAUGUUGCCCAUUGUACCUAAAUUGUGGUGGCCACGCAUCUUUUUGUUACUGCACAGGCGAGCUAUUUUCUGCUGUUCACUUUCGGCUAUUAUUCGCUGUUGCUGUAUCGUAUUCAGCUGUUGGAUUUGCGAACCGGGAGGUUGUUGCGGCUGAUGACAACCGGUAGCCAAAGUCGAAAACUGCUGUGGCCAACUGCAACCAUCUCCUACUCCUCCUCACCCACCUCCGCCACAUCCAUUUCCGAACCAAACCACCGACGAGUUUAAGGCCGUUGGCUGAGUAGUGGCAAAUAUAUCGGUGCUGGAAAGCUGAAACACUUCCGUCGGAUCCGGUUUUGCUCCACGCUGGCAUAGCUCGGCAACGAUUGCCACAUGAAUGGGUGUAACUUCACCGCCCUCCGGCUGGCAUCGUUGGCCAGUGCCGCACGUUCAGUCUUUUGGCAGAUCCUCGACGACAUUUCCAGCGCAAUGCAUCCGAUAUCGCCGAACUCUUUGGUCACUUCGUCCAGAUGCCGUACCCGCAAGUGAUCAUCGUUGAUUAGAAUGUGCUCAGCUUCUGAGCCAGAAGGAGCAGACUUUCCUCGGAUUCCGCUGUAGGAGAGAAAGAUGUUAGAAUUUACUGAAAAAUUCACGAAACAAAUUUUAAAUACGCACUGUCACUGAACCGAUAUUAUUCAGUCACUCCAUAGUCAAAAACUGUGAUACCUGCGUGCUUGAUGCACUUUGAUCCCUUCUUGUUUUGUAAACAAUGUUACAGCAUGGCUGAGUGGGCUCUUUGACAUUUUACACCACCCUAUGAUCUAUCAGCCCUGCUUAGGCAGUUUCCAGCUGAAAAUUUUAUGACCUUCGCAAAAUCAGAUUUCGAUCCUACAUUCCAAACACUUAUAAUACGAUUUGCAAAAAUAUUUUAGGAAUUUCGUCGGUGUGUUAUGAAAAUCCCGAAGAUCCUGAACACGCAAAACAUCUCGACUUCAGAGAAAUUUACUUAAAUUUUAUUUAGCCA